GAGUUGAUCAUGGCUCAGAUUGAACGCUGGCGGCAGGCCUAACACAUGCAAGUCGAGCGGAUGACGGGAGCUUGCUCCUUGAUUCAGCGGCGGACGGGUGAGUAAUGCCUAGGAAUCUGCCUGGUAGUGGGGGACAACGUUUCGAAAGGAACGCUAAUACCGCAUACGUCCUACGGGAGAAAGCAGGGGACCUUCGGGCCUUGCGCUAUCAGAUGAGCCUAGGUCGGAUUAGCUAGUUGGUGGGUAAUGGCUCACCAAGGCGACGAUCCGUAACUGGUCUGAGAGGAUGAUCAGUCACACUGGAACUGAGACACGGUCCAGACUCCUACGGGAGGCAGCAGUGGGGAAUAUUGGACAAUGGGCGAAAGCCUGAUCCAGCCAUGCCGCGUGUGUGAAGAAGGUCUCCGGA
rnacentral:rRNA from 1 species